rnacentral:lncRNA from 10 species
GUCAUAUGGGGCCUCGGGAUAUUCUUCCAUUGCCUGCAAAACUGGACUGUGAAAAUCCAGGGCAGUGGGUCCUCAUGAAUCCAAUUUCCACCAUCAACCCUCUAAAGGGUUCCCCUGUGGAUAAAACAAUUUUUAUAGCCUGUUUGCAGCUGCAGUCACUGAGAUUCAUAAAGAAUCAUAAGCUGGGCUCUAGGAGUUAUCAGCUGGUGUUGUCUGUUUAGAUGAUUAGUGAAUUAAGGGCUUUUUUCUUUGACUUCUACAGGGACCAUACUCCAGUAGGCCAUUAACAGACACUAUUUGGGACUGAUGGCCACAGGUUCUCUGUCUCAGCAGCAAGGACCGCCCCCAACAAAUAGGCAUUGUUCUUGGGUUACUCGCAGGCUGAGUUCUGACCCUGCAGUGUCACUGCAGAGCAGGCAGCUGGCCUUCCCUGGAGGAAGGGCGGGGAAAGGGAAGAUAUCUGAGCUGCUUUGCAGGGCAUCUGCUGCCGUCAUGGAGCCCAGGAAGCAAAGGGCUGCUUUGUGUUUUGGAGGCUACCUGCUUGGGCUCCAGGAAGGUGUUUUGACCAAGGUGACCGGAGCGUGUAGCAGCCUUGGAUAUCUUUGA